UACAGAGGGUGCAAACGUUGCUCGGAAUUAUUGGGCGUAAAGCGCGCGCAGGCGGCCUCCUAAGUCCGAUGUGAAAGCCCACGGCUCAACCGUGGAGGGUCAUUGGAAACUGGGGGACUUGAGUGCAGGAGAGAAGAGUGGAAUUCCACGUGUAGCGGUGAAAUGCGUAGAGAUGUGGAGGAACACCAGUGGCGAAGGCGGGUCUCUGGACAGUUCCUGACGCUGAGGCACGAAGGCCAGGGGAGCAAACGGG
rnacentral:rRNA from 1 species